CCUACGGGAGGCAGCAGUCGAGAAUCAUUCACAAUGGGGGAAACCCUGAUGGGGCGACGCCGCGUGGGGGAAUGAAGGUCUUCGGAUUGUAAACCCCUGUCAUGUGGGAGCAAAUUAAAAAGAUAGUACCACAAGAGGAAGAGACGGCUAACUCUGUGCCAGCAGCCGCGGUAAUACAGAGUUCUCAAGCGUUGUUCGGAAUCACUGGGCGGAAAGCGUGCGUAGGCUGUUUCGUAAGUCGUGUGUGAAAGGCGCGGGCUCAACCCGCGGACGGCACAUGAUACUGCGAGACUAGAGUAAUGGAGGGGGAACCGGAAUUCUCGGUGUAGCAGUGAAAUGCGUAGAUAUCGAGAGGAACACUCGUGGCGAAGGCGGGUUCCUGGACAUUAACUGACGCUGAGGCACGAAGGCCAGGGGAGCGAAAGGGAUUAGAUACCCUUGUAGUC
rnacentral:rRNA from 1 species